rnacentral:lncRNA from 1 species
AUGGUUGUUAACAAAAGUACAUUGUUCAGGCAAAGAAGGAAAAGCUUGUCACUCCGUGCAGUAGAGGUUCUGUCAUGUGAUAUUACUCCACACAGAGGGAAGCCGGAGCAGCCCUGCACGCUGCUUUACACCACUGGAAAAUGCUGAGCUUUGGCUGGGGAAGCUUGGAGUCAGGAGGCGUCUGGGCACAGGGCAGUCCCAUCACUUGAGCUUCACCCGUGUUCCGCUUCUGCAGCAGGUAAGCAGGUAGCGACGGGAGAAUGAGGAAGGUCUUUGAUGCGUGUGCACUCACCAAGCAGUGUGCUGUGGGCAGCAUGGGCUAGUAGGUGACUUGAGGGAUUGAUAGUAGGAUCUGUCUACGAGUCCUUAACCAGGCUGGCUAAUUAAUACUGCAUGUAGACGCCUGGUUUGGCCAGCGCUGAGAGGUGAAAAGUGAAACCUUCUUGUGCUUUUGCUUUGGACAUAGAGGUCAGGCUGGGCUUGUAUUUGGAUGCUGGAUAUAUUUGAGUCUAAACAUGGGUUUAGGCCAACCUGUGAAAUGCUGGACAGACAAAGCUUGUCUCUGUUGUAUGAGUAGCUUGAUUAAUGCCUACUUCUUUUCCUUAUAAACCAGCCUCCUGCCUCCCAGCAAGCAGGUAAGAAGUGAAAAUAAAGUCACCUUUAUGGCUGGAACA